UACGGAGGGUGCAAGCGUUGUCCGGAUUUAUUGGGUUUAAAGGGUGCGUAGGCGGCCCUGUAAGUCAGUGGUGAAAUACUGCAGCUUAACUGUAGCAUUGCCAUUGAUACUGUAGGGCUUGAGUACAGAUGAGGUAGGCGGAAUUGAUGGUGUAGCGGUGAAAUGCAUAGAUACCAUCAAGAACACCGAUUGCGAAGGCAGCUUACUAAGCUGUAACUGACGCUGAGGCACGAAAGCGUGGGGAU
rnacentral:rRNA from 1 species